CGCUCCCAGCUGCCGGCGCCGAGCGCCCGCGGGAGGAAGGGGGCGGCGGGGCCGUGCCGGCUCCUGCCCUCCUUCGCCUCCAGUGCUUGAUGGACACAGGAGGGAACUAAACAGUAUAAGAGGAAACCGACGUUAAGACCUAGAAUUUCGACACAAAUGAAAAAGCGGUUGUCACUGCCUUCGUGGUGCAGUAUGGCAUUCGGACCUGGUGUUCUCUGCCUGCUCCUAUGGGCAAUAACAGGUUCCAGUUGUGAGCAGUGCAGAGAAGGAGCCACGUACUCAGGUGCAGUAAUAUCUCCCAACUUAGAAACCACUAAAAUUAUGCGAGUUCCUCAUGCCAUGUCAGUGUCCGACUGCAUCGCAGCUUGUUGUGACCUCUCUGGUUGUGACUUGUCCUGGAUGUUUGAACAACAUUGUUACAUCGUGAACUGCCAACACGAAGAGAAUUGUAAACCUAAAAAAAUUGAAACUGUGAAGUCCUAUCUUACUUUUGUGCUGAGGCCUUCUCAGAGGCGAGCCUCGCUGCUAGGAUUUGGGCAAGUGAUCCCAAGCAUGGUCCACUCUCUGGGACACCAGAAUGAGCCAUCUGAGGAAGUGAGUAGCCUGAAGAAGCUGUCUCUGCUUGGCAAAGAUCCCAGCCUUGAGGAGAUACCUGAAUACAUUGAUGAUUAUAAAGAGUUGGAGGAGGACCCAUUUCAGAUGGGCAUCAAACAUGAGCAGAAGGAGAGCACAGAUUAUGCUGACUGGGGCCUGAUGAUGGCAGGUGAAAAUGGCUUCAAUGCUUCCACAAGUGAUGACGGAGAUAACCAGGAAGACUUGGCUGAAAAGAAAGGGGAGGCUGUGAAGGUGGAAAACCUUUCAAAUAAAAACGUCUCUGAAUUGAACUCUGUCGCUGAACACUCCAUAGACAGGUUGUCAUCCCUCCUGGAGAUUACACCAUUCCCUGGGAAAACAUUUGAAAGGGAAGCAGCUGUUCAACUUCUUGCACAACCUGAUGAUGCUUUGCAAAAAGAGGCUGCUACACCUUCCUCUUCUUCAGAUAAAUUGGAUUUCUUCCCAGGUGUGUCAGAGAAAACCCAGACUCCCACAGUGUCCCCAGAGAACGUCACUGAAGGUGGGAUCAUGUUACUUCCCACUAACACUGUGCCAUCUGAGCCCAUGCAGCAGUUCACGCCACCUGCUACUGCUGCUAAAGCAGAUACAGUAAAAGAACUUAUUGUGUCUGCUGGAGAUAACAUACAAGUGAUGCUACCCAAAAAUGAGGUUGAACUGAAUGCCUUUGCCGUCCCACCACCAUCUACAGAAACAGCUUACACCUAUGAGUGGAGCCUUAUCAGCCACCCUGCUGACUACGGUGGUGAAAUGGAGCACAGGCACAGCCAGACUUUGAAGCUCUCUCAUUUAUCAGUGGGACUUUACGCCUUCAAAGUGACAGUUUCUGGUGUAAAUGCCUUUGGUGAAGGUUUUGUAAAUGUCACAGUCAAACCAGUCCUCAGAGUUAACCAGCCGCCUGUCGCUGUUGCUUCCCCCAAAGUGCAAGAAGUUUCUUUGCCUACAACUUCCACCUUCAUCGAUGGCAGUCAAAGUAUAGAUGACAUGAAGAUAGUGAGUUACCACUGGGAAGAAAUUAAAGGUCCCUUGCGAGAGCAGAAGGCAUCUGCUGACACAGCUGUCUUGCACUUGUCUAACCUUGUUCCUGGAAACUACACUUUCAGACUCACAGUGAUUGAUUCAGAUGGAGCAGCCAACUCCACCAUUGCUUUUCUGACUGUCAACAAACCAGUGGAUUACCCACCUAUUGCUAAUGCAGGACCUAAUCAGGCAGUCACCUUGCCCCAGAACUUCAUCACGCUAAAUGGAAACCAAAGCAGUGACGACCAUGAAAUUGUCAGCUAUGAGUGGUCCCUCAGUCCCAAAAGCAAAGGCAAGGUUGUAGCAAUGCAGGGAGUGCGGACGCCGUACCUCCAGUUAUCUGCAAUGCAGGAAGGAGAUUACACGUUUCAGCUGACUGUCACAGACUCUGCGAGGCAGCGGUCCACGGCUGAGGUCACACUCAUCGUGCAGCCUGAAAAUAACAGUCCUCCAGUAGCAGUGGCUGGCCCUGACAAAGAAUUGACCUUCCCAGUAGAAAGUGCUACACUGGAUGGAAGCAAAAGCCAAGAUGACCAAGGCAUUGUCUUCUAUCAUUGGGAAAAUAUCAGUGGACCAAGCUCUGUACAGAUGGAAAAUGAUGACAAAGCAAUAGCAACUGUGACUGGUCUUCAAGUUGGUACCUAUCGCUUCAGGCUGACUGUGAAAGACCAACAGGGCUUGAGCAGUGCAUCUGUGCUGUCUAUAACUGUGAAGGAAGAAAACAACAGUCCACCUCGGGCGCAUGCUGGUGGGAAACAUGUUCUUGUGCUUCCAAAUAACUCUGUUACCUUGGAUGGCUCAAGAUCUGCUGAUGACCAGGGGAUUGUGUCAUAUUUGUGGAUUCGGGACGGUCAAAGCCCAGCAGCUGGGGAUGUGAUCCAUGGCUCGGACCACGAGGCAGUACUGCAGCUAACUAAUCUGGUGGAAGGAACCUAUACUUUCCACUUGAAAGUGACGGAUGCUAAAGGAGACUCAGAUGUUGAUUCAGCAACUGUUGAAGUGCGGCCUGAUCCCAAAAGGAAUGGUCUGGUGGAGCUGAUUCUGCAGGUUGGAGUGGGACAGCUGAGUGAACAGCAGAAGGACACUCUGGUGAGACAGCUGGCUGUAUUGCUGAAUGUUUUGGAUUCAGAUAUCAAAGUUCAGAAGAUACAAGCCUACUCAGAUAUAAGCACUGCAGUUGUGUUCUACGUGCAGAACGGGCAUCCUUCCACGGUGAUCAAGGCAUCAGAUGUCUCAAGAACUCUGCACUUGCAGCUCUUGAAACAGAAGGCUGACUUCCUGCUCUUUAAAGUCCUGCGAGUUGACACGGCUGCCUGUCUUUUGAAAUGCUCUGGACAUGGGCACUGUGACCCCAUAACAAAGCGCUGCAUUUGCUACCAGCUGUGGAUGGAAAACUUGAUACAUCGUUAUCUAAAUGAUGGAGAGAGUAAUUGUGAGUGGAGUAUACUCUAUGUGACUGUAUCUGUUUUUAUUUUGAUUGUGGUCAUGGUAGGGCUUGCCUGGUUCUGCAUCUGCUGCUGCAAGAGCAGAAAGAGGACAAAGAUAAGAAGGAAAACAAAAUAUACCAUCCUAGAUAACAUAGAUGAGCAGGAGAGAAUGGAACUACGACCCAAAUACGGUAUAAAACACAGAAGUACAGAGCACAACUCCAGUCUGAUGGUCUCUGAGUCAGAGUUUGACAGUGAUCAGGACACUAUCUUCAGCAGAGAAAAGAUUGAAAGAGAGAAUCCUAGAACACUUAUGAAUGGAUCCAUCAGAAAUGGAGUUUCCUUCAACUACAGCUCCAAAGACAGAUAACUGAAUGAGGGUAAAAGCACAGAACAUGCUGGUGCAACACAUCUGAAACGUGUUGGCUCACCUCUGUUUUUUCUAGAACCAAAAGCUUCCUAAAUUAUCAAUUAAUUGCAGAUGAAAGGGUAAAUUUUUAACACAGGUAGAGGAAGGAAGAAUGAAGGAAGAAAGAUUAGAUGGUCCACUAACUCCUCUUGUCACCAUUAUAGGAACAAGGAAAAGCACAUCUUAUUUCUUCCAUGUUCCAUGCUGAAUGUUUGUCUGAACUUCUGAAAGCCCUUUUUUCUAUGUCACUGCUACAAAAUUAGCCAGGGCUCUUGUGCUACAGACUGUGAUAACUAACAAUGGCAUAUAGAUUCAUGUCCUGUGCUCCUAGCACUCUCUUGGAGAAGCAGUGUGGUUUAUAACAGCAAAAGCCAAUAUAGAUAAAUUCCAUUACAACUAUAGAGAGCAAUAUGUGGCCACAGGCUCCAUCUUAAUUUUCAGUUCAGGAUGGAAACACAAAGAGCAUUUUUAGUGCAUUGUGUUUAUCUGACUGUGCUUUGUGAAUUCUUUUUCUAGGGUAGUAUUCAUGAGGUGGAAAUGUCUUUGUUUUGUUUUCAAAGAAAGUUUUCCCCUGUAUUUUCAUAGGAGGUAUGAUGUCUACAGGAAAGUACAGCCUUAGGCUGAUUCUGUAAUGAUGAAAGUGCUUUAUCUAUGCCAUGUCCAUCCAGGAAACUGUAGCGCCUUCAGAAGCAUUUUAAGCAUCCCAAGCAACCUUUUGCUUAGACGUCACUUUUGAGGAGCUCUGAACCUUCUAAGACUAAACACUCAGCUGAGACGAGUUUUCAUCUGUCAGCCUUAGUGCUCAGUUAAAGAACGUGCCAGGCACUUGUGUAGUGAAAUGCUUGUGGCAAAUACCAUGUGUGAAGCAGGAGGUUCAACACUUACCUUCAUUGUCAUGGGAAUUGGUACUGAACAAGGUUUUAGCUUGAACAUUAAACUGUUUUACUUCUUCCUCCGUGGCUGUUCAGUGACUGGAUGUGUUGACCUAAAGAGAUCCUUUCAGGUUUUUGGCAAGGGUAGGUGUAUUGAAGUUCUUAAAAUCCUGUUCACAGUCUGGAUAAUUUCUUCACAGCCUGCUUGUUAGGCUUUAAAAUCAUGCCCCCACAAUACUGUUCUUGAAAUCCCAAACUGAAGAACUGGCUUUUAUACAUAAGCCUCACUUGGUGGGGACAUCUGUGUCAGUGGUACUGUUUAACCAUGACGUCGGCUUUUCCUGGGGGUGCUCUACUGAUGUGCUGGAGUCGUAGGCUGAGAUGGAGGAAUGAUGUGUUUCGAUGGAGAAAACAUUCCUCUGGGAGCAUUUUGGAGAGAGUUUUUUUGGUUUUAGUCCAGAAGUAGAGAACCCAAUAUUGGAGAAGGAUGGAGCAGUAUAGAGAUCAAGGGGAGCAGCAUAGAAGGCUCAGGGAGGGUAUAGCCCAUCUCCAUCAUGAAGAAUAAUUUAGUGGAGAAUUUUAGGGCUUUCUCCAUCUCUUCUUAGAAGUCUGAGAGACCAGAGUAGCUGAGUUGAACACUGGGGCUUCUGUGCUUCUCUUGUUAAUGGAGUUGGGCAACUAGGUUGGAAGGAAUCAGUAGUCAAAAGUUGCAGCAACACGGCAUGCUCAUAACUUGUUUCAUACCUUUGAUUCUCAAAUGCAGCCAGCAGGAGUCCCUAAGGCUACUAAUACAGCACUGAGGAAUAUUUAUCCUGUGCCCAGCCCUGCAUUUCUCUGAAGAGCUUUGUGUGGCUGCAGGAGUCAUCGUGGAGGGAGAGGCUGUGAAGAGCUAAAAAGGGCUAGUGCAGGUGUUGUCUAUGUUUUUCCCAUACCCACCAGCAAGGUGCAGUAUAAAUGGAACUUGUCAGGUACUCUUUUAGGCAUGGUGUACUUUAUUGGACUCAACACUCAGGUCAGGCUAAUAGACAUACGUUGUAUACCAUAGCUUAUGUCUGUACUCAAACAUAAAAGCAGUGCAAUAGCUGAUCCCUUCCUUUUCUACUGACAGAAGCAUCUUCUUCGACAGAGGUGACAUAAUUCAGUACAUCAGAGAGCAGGAAAAAAAAUAAUUUACUGCAGUUCACAGUAGGUAUUCUUGUGGUGCUUGUCCUUACUUGGUUUAAUUGGCUGUGUGUAAAUAAUCACCAGCUGUCAUACCGAGUGUGGUAAUUUCACAAGUUUUGUGGCUUACUCUAUAACAAAUCCAGUAUCUGAGAGCGUUUGUCAGUACAAUGGCUGCUUUGCAGUAAUCAGUGUCCAAUAUAAACCAAAAUACUGUGUUAGAUAGAGGCAGGUUUUGCUGCCUGUUUCUGAACUUCAAAAGAAAAAGUCCUUGCAUCAGUGUGUGUGAAGUUUGUGCUAAUUUGUGAUAAUAAAAGGUACUAUGAGAUACAAGUGUCUUUCUAUAAGGAAAAAUCAUACCUCAUAAAAGCUAUACUUUUAAGUGUAUUUGGAUACAUAGUGCCGCAGUCUAUAAUGGCACCUCAUACAUUCAUACUGGACUCCUGCAAGGGCACACUGGCUGCUGAAUGAGCUGAUGAGAUACAUAAAUGUCCUGUACUGAGGAAUGGAAUCUGCCCCUUUGUUAUUGCACUGUACAGCACUGUAACAGCAGUAGCCUGCCCCCAUCCCUUUGAGUAGCCUGGUGCAACAGAAUAUCAGCAGCAGUGAUUCCUAAACAACUUCAGCCAGUUGUGCAAAGUAGCUUGAGCACUCACUGAUAAAAGUGAAUAUGCCACCAACUUCUUGUAGUUGUUCCUGGAAGGUCCUAAGCAGGGAGU